UGCCGGAAUAGCUCAGUUGGUAGAGCAGAGGACUGAAAAUCCUCGUGUCAGACG
rnacentral:tRNA from 1 species